UUGACUAAAUUUUUAUCUGAAAACUCUCAGUUAUCAAUUUCACAUAAAGUUGACCGCACCUGAAUUUCUAUCUAUCAAGAUUCAUAUAACAAUUGUUCAUCAAAUUAAUUAAAACAUUCAAAUAUGACUUGAUGACCUACAAAAGGCACAAUUCACUAGUAAUGGCUUUUAAUCUUAACCUCGUUAUACCUAAUAAUGACGAAUAAAAAAAUGAAAGAAAAGUGUCCCUAAGAAAAUGGCUAAAGAGUUGCACACAGUGGGUAUUAUAAUGCAAUGAAGAUCUUGAGAGAAUCUCUCUUUUAUAUGCCUAUGCUUGCUUCUUAGCUUCAACACGCAACGAAAUGCCGCACUAGCCGCUCUAAAUCAAACAUCUAGUAAAGACAGCUAUAAAAGGAUCGGCGUUGAACACGGAGAAGUGGAUCACACAAAAUCAUGAUCUUCCUCGGACCAACUUUUUUUCAUCUAUUUAAUUGCUUUUUCUCUUUUCAUCGUACUAUGUUUUUCGUUUUUCUCUUGGCUUCAACUUUAACACUUUUCAAGUGGUGCUUAAAUACCCUUUAAAAAAACCGUAGGGUUAGCUAUGCUUUAAAUUUAAAACAUGUUUGGUUGUACUUUCAAUUUCAUUAGAAGUAAUUUUUAGGCAUCCUACAUUAAAAUUUA